GUUGUGGCUCAGUGGCAGAGCGCUCGCUUAGCACAUGUGAGGCCCUGAGUUCGAUCCUCAGCACACA
rnacentral:tRNA from 1 species